GACGAACGCUGGCGGCGUGCUUAACACAUGCAAGUCGAACGGAAAGGCCCUGCUUUUGUGGGGUGCUCGAGUGGCGAACGGGUGAGUAACACGUGAGUAACCUGCCCUUGACUUUGGGAUAACUUCAGGAAACUGGGGCUAAUACCGGAUAGGAGCUACUGCUGCAUGGUGGGGGUUGGAAAGUUUAGGCGGUUGGGGAUGGACUCGCGGCUUAUCAGCUUGUUGGUGGGGUAGUGGCUUACCAAGGCUUUGACGGGUAGCCGGGCUGGUAGGAUGACCGGCCACGUUGGGACUGGGAUGCGGCCCAGACUCCUACGGGAGGCAGCAGUGGGGAAUAUUGCACAAUGGGCUGAAGCCUAAUGCAGCAACGCCGCGUGCGGGAUGACGGCAUUCGGGUUGUAUACCGCUUUCGCCUGUGACGAAGCGUGAGUGACGGUAAUGGGUAAAGAAGCACCGGCUAACUACGUG
rnacentral:rRNA from 1 species